AUGUUUAAAAUAAAAAUAUUUGGCGGCUGCUUAAAUUAAAGGGAUUUGCUUUUUAUCGAUUUACCUCGUUUAUUAUUAUUUAAUUUAUUUUUGUAUACCGUCAUUUAGAUAAUUUUUAUAGAAUUAAUUAUGGUUAAUAAUAUACUAGAUAUUAGAUCAAGGUGCAGAUAUAAUUAAUUUUAAGUUAAUGACAAUAAGAUAUUAUUAUACGGUAUUAAUAUAAAUAAUUAGAAUAGGUGGAUUUAAUUGUAAUAUAGUAGUUAUUUGAAAUUAAAUCAGUAGUGUACAAAUUGCCCGUCAUUCUC
rnacentral:rRNA from 1 species